rnacentral:rRNA from 1 species
CCUACGGGGGGCUGCAGUGGGGAAUAUUGGGCAAUGGGCGCAAGCCUGACCCAGCAACGCCGCGUGAAGGAAGAAGGCUUUCGGGUUGUAAACUUCUUUUCUCAGGGACGAAGAAAGUGACGGUACCUGCGGAAUAAGCCACGGUUAACUACGUGCCAGCAGCCGCGGUAAUACGUAGGUGGCAAGCGUUAUCCGGAUUUAUUGGUUGUAAAGGGCGUGUAGGCGGGAGCGCAAGUCAGAUGUGAAGACUCAGGGCUCAACCCUGAGCCUGCAUUGGAAACUGUGUGUCUUGAGUGCUGGAGAGGCAAUCGGAAUUCCGGGUGUAGCGGUGAAAUGCGUAGAUAUACGGAAGAACACCAAUGGCGAAGGCGGAUUGCUGGAUAGUAACUGACGCUGAGGCACGAAAGCGUGGGGAGCAAACAGGAUUAGAUACCCCUGUAGUC